CUCUGCUGGCCAUCGUCGACGAGCUCGAGAUGGAGCAGGGCCGUCGCCCAUGUCGUUCCCCUCAGUUUUUGACCUUUUUCGCGGAUCCGGUGGAGACGAUGCGAGAUCUGGUGGCGGAGAUCCGAGAUCCGGUGGCGGCGAUACGGUUGCCGCGGAGGUACCUCGUCCAGGGGAUGCGCACCUGCACUCCGGAUGGGCGGUGGACCGGGCCAUCGUCGCCGAGGACGAGUGGCUCGUCAUGAUCCGCUUCAGCCACGACUGGGACGAGCCUUGCUUGCAGAUGGACGAGACGCUGGCAGGGAUGGCCGAGAAAAUCAGGAACUUCGCGGUGAUCUGCCCAUGGCGCCUGAUUCUACAGGAAAUCGAUUGAUUGGAUUAGUUUCAUAUACAUGGUGAAGUGCAGGUUCAGCUGUGGUUCUCAUAUAAGGAAGAGUGUCAUAGCUAUUGUCAAAAUUUAGCCUCCUUCGCUUUGAGAUGGCCAACUAUUGUGUGUUUAUGAAGAGAAGUGCCUAAUCUCAAGACCAAAGGUGCUACGAGGUGAUAUUUGUGUCGUGAAACUUAUAAGAAGCAGUACAUUACUAUGCCUACAGGAAGAAGUACAAAUGAUGGUCACUGGAUUUCUGAAUACACUAUUUUGCUCUGUAUUUAGUAUGUAGUCAGGUGGAUAUGACUACGUUGAGUCAGAUGAAAGACAACGACCUCAAAGAUACUAUAUAAGCACAUGGUUAAUGGGAUGUUUAAUGAUUUCUGUUCCAUUCCUGGCUUUUAUUACCUCUUAUGGUCAGUGGGAUGGUUAGUGCUUAUAUUGUUUUAUUAUUACACUCUACUGGUUGCUGUGAUUUUGGAUGUGAGGUAGUAUGACUUAUGAAUAUGAUAUGAUCAUGGUCUAUGUUUUUCUCUCUGUGCAAAGAGCCUUCCUCUCUUGGUGGUAAGUGCAUUUAAUCUAUAUCCUUGUAUUUGUUUUGAUUGGAAAUUAAAUGAUAGGAGGUAUGGGAGGAUGUUUUUUCUUGGCUGUUGUACGUCUGCUCAGCUGCCCUAUGAGGAAAGCAUGUGUUUAUUAUUUAUCUGUAACUAAACAAUGCCCCCUCUAAAUUUUCAUGUGUGUAGUUUCCGGGAAUUUGUGCCAGCGAAUCCUAGAUUCAAAUAUAGAAAUGGAGCCCAGCGAAUCCUAGAUUUCACUUCUCAUUUGUUUUCGGUUAUUAUAUUGUAAUGAGGCCUUAAGCCUGUUUCUAACAUAAAGUUACCAUGUAAUAUGUUGAGUGAAUUAUGUUUCUUCAUGUUUACUUCAUAUGGGGCCAAAUAAUUCAGAUUCGUUCUCUUCCUCUUUCAGAUGUUGGUGGCAUUUUUUCACUGCGUCUUUCUUCCACGGAAACAACAGGAUUUCGGUCACGACUUUUACCAACACGGCUUGCUGCACGCUAGGACCUAAAGUUACCCUUGAUUUUCUGGCUUCAUCAGAGAAAGUUCUUGGAAGGCAGUUGUCGCAUAAAGCUCAGGCGGAUGUGGUGGCCAAGAAGAAGAAUGCCUAAAUAAAAAGCAGGGGUCUUUCUUUUGGUGACACAGAUUGCCAGUAGUUGUUUCCUUUCAGUCAUCUACUUACCGUGAGAUCCGAUGGUCGCAGUCCUCCCCUUUGUAGUUGGCAUGUAAAUAUGAACUAAGUUCCUGGUGCAGCGAUUACCCUGUGCACCUCGUGUGUAUGCUUGUUCUACCAUCUCCUAAUGCUAGCCAUGUGGGCAUGCUUUUGGUUCGUCCUGCUAUCAGCUGCUUCUAUGUAGUUUGUUCUAUCAUGUAAUGCCUUGCUCAGAAAAAGGACUAUUGUAAAUUCCUGAAACAAUGCUACUUUAUACUUAAUAGUGUGCAGUUUGCUCUA